ensembl:lncRNA
CCUGAAGGCAAAUCGUUUCUGAUUAUGAAAUGUGAAGGAGACGCGAAAGCAGGAAGGAAGUGAAAGAAAUCCAGAGAUGUGAACAAUAAAAGUGUUCAAAUAUCAGCUGGUGUAGCGCGGACCGGUCCGGACAUGACGCACGGCCGCUUUCGGUUUAAUGAUCUCUGUGAGGGCGUCAGCUCGUCAGCAUUCAGAGCUCGUUACAGCUCAGACUUCCUGGCAAUCAAGAGCCUCGUUAAGACGCUGAGCUCGUUAAUCUUCAAAGAGACUUGAAACGACUACCUGUGACUGAGGCGUCGCACCUUUGCUUUUAUGAAAGUUUUCAGCCUGGUCAUUUUCUGUGUGUGAGGCAGUAUAGACACGUGUGUCUAGAUUCUGGCAGCAGCAGAUAUCCUGCCAUUAUAAUCCCAUUAGAUCACCUCCACACUCUGCUGUGCUUCUGUUGAUGGAGCCUGAGCUGCUCCUGCAGACAGAGAGGCAGGAAGUGAGGAAGGACGCCAGGAUCCCAUCACGGUAAUCUGCUGUCAGUCACUGGAUCCAGCAGGAGCAGCAUGAAAGGGUCACUGCGCUGCUUUUAAUAGCACCAGGUGGAGAAAUGCUUCAGACUGGAUUAAAAGCACCGACCAGGGUUCAUUAAAAAUGCUCACGUAUAGAAACGUUUCAAAUUAAAGGAAAAACCCACCAUGAAGAAACUUAGUAGGUGUUUGGCUUCCAGGUGACAUGCAGGGCGGGGUCUGCAGGUACCUGUUGUCAGGACUUGUCGUUCAAAUAUUUCAUGUGAGGGAAAAAAUGACACAUGCAGUUAUGAAAUCUCUUAUUAAAGACUGACAGCAGAGCUUCUACAAUCCUCCACACGCCUCACCGUCACAAAGUGCUGCAGACUCUGAGCCGCAGUGAGGGAUUGGUCAGGUUAUUGUCAUGACUACCACAGGUGAACACCCCUCACAGCCACUGGUGAAGCGUACUAGGGGGUGGAGUUAUGGAGUUACAUCAGGUAACCAGGACACGUUUAAAUUUGUGAUACUGAUAUUGUGAAGUACGGGAUGAAGAACAGGUAACUGUAGUGUUCAGUGUUAAUGUUGAUUUAGUCUCUUCGUCGUCUGUAAGCUGCAACAUUAUUCUAAUAAAAUCAUAAGAUUACCGUUCAGUGACUAGUUGAUCCACGUGGUUUACUAACGGUUUUGGUUUAUUGACGUAAACAAAGAAAAUUGCUGAAACAUUUCAUCACAGCUUUUGUCCUGUUCCAAUCGUGUUUCGUGAUCAUCUUGUUUUCUUCAGUUGGAACUAUGAUGGAAACGUUGGAGGAGACCCAGCAGGGCCAGAGGCCCCUCGGAGCCCCGCCCAUCAACCGCAGCCAGUCUGAGAACUCCAGCAGCGGAGACAGCGAGUCCUCCACCUCCUGUUAGUUUGAGGAUCUGAUCCAGAACCUUUUGUACUGGAGGACAAUAAUGAAGCACAGAUGUUACCAACUUCCUUUGAGCAAGGCAGCAGACUUGUUCCUGUUUUAGCUGAACUGAUUUAGGAAUAUUUAGGAUUUCUUAGUUUUUUUCUGGUUUGUCUCCAUGAAAAUAGUUUUUCACAUUUUUACAUGAAGCAGUCGAUGUGCACGUCAGACGCUGGGAUAAAGUAAAGAUGCAAAGUUUAGACUCGGGCACUGCAGGUCCAAGGUUCACGUCCUGCGGGUGUGGAUUUAUUCUGCAACACAGGUGGGGGACUGCAGGCCUCGAGGGUCUCCUGCAGGUUUGAGAUCUCACCCUGGUCAACACACCUGGAUCACAUGAUUAGUUCAUUAGCAGGAGAACUUCAACACAUGUUGAGGAGGUCAUUUAGCCUUUAAAUCAGCUGUGCUGGAUCAAGGACACAUCUCUGCUCUAAAACGUAAUCUUUCCUUCUGAUUGUCCGAUCAGGAAAAAGACGCCAUUGACCCUCGAGUCAGCCGCUCGACUCGACCUUUGAGUCGGUGCGGACUGUUGUUCUGUUGUAAACCAGAGCAAGGAGCUCUUUUAUACCAGCUGAGAUUAUGGUUGAUAUAUAUUUUGGGGGAAAACAGAUAUUAGUUGUCAUGGAUGCGGGUGGUGGUGUUUCCUUUAAAACAUAUUCGCUGCUGCAGAUUCAUGAAAUAAUAAAUGUGACUCGUGAGGAAGAUUCUGCUGCUUGAUGAAAGCGUAACAAUAAUCACUAGAAAAAUAAAUGACGGUGUGUCAUCUUCACCAAUGUAAAGUGAAUUUAAUGUCCCGUCUUUAAUCUGUCUUACUGUCUGCGUGUUUCCAGCGUUACUGAGGGGGGGGCAUCGAGAUAAUUGGUUCUGCAUUUCAUUACUUCCUCAUUAAAGGCUCAUAAAAACACAAAAGCAGAAACGAUCUGCUCCCUCAGGCAGCUCAGCUCUUAACCUGCAGAUCUUCUUUGGGCAGGAAACUGGCUUCAGUAAAAUAAUGUAUAUUGAUGGUUUUAUUAUAGCAUUAGAAUUAAAAUGAACUCAUCAGAGGCUCGUUCAGCUAAAUCAACCUGCUGCCUUUCAGCAUCGGCUUAGUUCUUCUCCUCUCUUCAGUCUUCUACAGGCCAACGUAACUUUGGCUCCAGCUGUCUGCACACUUUUCCUCUGCUGAGUUUCUUUUUUCAAAUUUUAUCUAUUAAAAAACUGUUUUGGGUUAUCAGCUAAGAUUUAAGCUCCAUCUCUCCACAAGCGCCUGUGAAAGUUUAAUUUAGAAUAAUCCAAUUAUCGCAGACGAAACAUCAUCCCCGAAGCUGCAAGCGUCGCUGCGUG